rnacentral:lncRNA from 1 species
GAAAUACGACUGACCACAAACUAAGAGCAGGGUGGGUCUCUGGAUCCGGGUAGUCUUUGAAUGUGCUAGAAACAGCAGCCAGAAUCUCCUUCAUUUCAUGCUCAGACGUCUGAAAGAAAAACAAGAAAUCAAAAACGAAACAAAUCAGGAAAAAGGCAAAAAUACAAGGGGUGGUCACGAUUGGAAUGUUUCUGAUGAAAAGUACAAAGGAUCGGAGGUAAACAACGUUUAUGGAUUAAGAUAAAAUUAAUGUAUUGUAAUAAUUAAUCUCUAAUUAAUCUGUUUUUAUUCUUAAAAAAAGCAACUUUCACUUACAGGGGUUCUCUACGUGUUCACUUCACGACCCGGUAGAAAUAGCAGCCAAAUCUCAUCUCGUCUCAGCAAAAUUAACAAAUAUAAUCACACACACACACACACACACACACACACACACACACAUACAUACAUACAUACACACACACACACAAACGCACACACAAACACACACGUGUACAUAAUCUAUACAUAUACACACAUAUACAUUCGGACAUACAACCAUACACACACACACAUCCUUAUAACUACGAAGUGGUCAUGGUUGAAAAGGCUUUGACCAGAAGAAGCCUACUCGGUCAAGAAUGACCACGGGUUAAAUAACAGGUUUCUGCUACAACCUUCUUGUUUCGUUUAAAAAGAAGCAAAACGUAAAUAAACAUUAAAAAAAGAGAAAGCAAUAACAGAAUUAUAGAAUUGUAGAAUAACAGCACAACAAUGCGAUGGAAUAAUGGAAUGAUAGAAUUAUGGAAUGACAAAAAGAGAAAUAGAAAAAAAGAAUCCUGAUCCCACCGAAUAAUAUAAAUCUAUCUAUCUAUCUAGAUUGGUUGGUGCUUUAUACAUGCCACCAGCAGGGAAGCCAGUCAAGGCGGUGCUGGCAUCGUCCACGUUUGGAUGGUGCUUUUUACGUGCCACCGGCAUGGGAAUCACAACUACAAUUUAAUUUGACUGUUUUUGAUGUACUUGACUCAAAAGGUUUCCACAAGGACAGCAUGUUGCCCGACAAUCCAAGGUACUUUUGAGUGGGCUGGAUGUGUGACUCAGGUCACACACACAUAUAUAUAUAUAUAUAUAUUAUAUAUAUAUAAGUACCAAAGUACCUUGGAUUCCAGAACAUCCCGUUGUGCUUGAGGAGACCUGUUGAGUCAAGUACAUUAACAUCGAAAUAAAUAUCAAUGGAAAUAGUAGUUGUGAUACCUGUGCCAGUGGCACAUAAAAAGCACCAUCCGAAUGUGGCGGAUGCCAGCGCCGCCUUGGCUGGCUUCCAUGCCGGUGGCACAUAAAAAGCACCAUCCAAACCUGGCCGAUGCCAGCGCCGCCUUGGCUGGCUUCCGCGCCGGUGGCACGUUAAAAGCACCAACCGAUCGUGGCAGAUGCCAGACUCCCCUGGCACCUGUACAGGUGGCACGUAGAAAGCACCCGCUACACUCACAGAGUGGUUGGCGUUAGGAAGGGCAUCCAGCCGUAGAAACACUGCCAGAUCAAGAUUGGAGCCUAGUUCAGUCAUCUGGCUUCCCAGACCCCAGUUGAACCGUCCAACCCAUGCUAGCAUGGAAAACGGACGCUAAACGAAGAUGAUGAUGAUGAUGAUAUAUAUAUAUAUAUAUAUAUAUAUAUAUGUAUAUAUACAACAUAUAUAUAUAUAUAUAUGCACGACAGGCUUUCAAUUUCUGCCUACCCAAUCCAUUAACAAGGCAUUGGUUAGUCUGAGGCUAUAGCAGAGGAUACACUCCCAAGGUGGCAUGCAGUGGGACUGAACCCAGAAUCAAGGUGGAACUGUCAUAGGCCUUCCUGGAUAAGUGUUAACCACAGGCUAAAUAACUUUCAGUGAAUUUCCAAAUUUUUUUCUUAGUAUUCUUCAUUAAAAUGGAAUAAGGGAGUUACAGAAUAAUGCUGCAUUGGAAUUAUGGAAUUAAGGAAUUACGGAAUGACUCAAUGAACUACAAAAUUUCAAAGAAAACGCUAGCAGACAAACCCUUAAUUCUUAACCACAAAUAUGACCCCACUACCCCUACAGAUAUCCGAAUGCUAUAAUCAUGUAGCAUUUUAAGUUUUGGUAAAAUGUCUCAAUUUCUCCAAAGAACGCAGAAGGAAUUCACAAGAAACUCUUAGCUUCUUUGAAAUGUGUGAAGCAAUAAGACUGCCUGAAGAAUCCUCAGAAGACGAGGUGUUGGCUGCUUUUGUUGUAAACUGAGACACCAAAAGUUUGAGAACUCUGGAAUUAUAACUUUCUGUCAAGUCAAACUAUAUAUAACCCCCCCACACACACACACACACAAACAUACAUACAUACAUACAUACAUAGAAACAUAUGCACAUAUAUAUAUAUAUACAUAUAUUAUAAUAAUGAUGAUGAUGAUAAUAAUAAUAAUAAUAAUAAUAAUAAUAAUAAUAAUAAGAAGAAGAAGAAGAAGAAGAAGAAGAAGAAGAAGAAGAAGAAGAAGAAGAAGAAAUGCCCUGAUGCAGUACCAUACAGUGGCUCCCAUGGCUUCUGAUCCUAACUGAUUGGAAUUGUUAUCAUGUACAUUGUUUUGUCUUGGUAUAAAAGAUGGCCUACAGCAAAUAUUCUGCUCAAUACCACAGAUUUGCUUGUCAGUUGUUUGACCUUAACCUGUUGAGCAUGUCCCUUAGUGGCUGACGAUAUGUGCAUCUCUGAUCACGAGCAGAAGUAGUUGGGGAGCAUCAUAGUUAUAUGUUGAGAGGGAUUCUUUGGGGUUUGGAUAAUUCACCUCUGGAAACAUAGGUGGUUCGCUCAACAUCCUUAAACAACCCUUAUUCAGGGAUCUUUUGAGUGGGAUGGGUUACUUAAUCAGAAGAAAAUUCUAACUGGGCCCCAUCUGCAAGGUCAUAUGCUGUUUAUCUUGAUAUGAGAUCACCAUGUCGCGCACAUAUGGUUGUGAUGCAUGUGCCUGGUGUACCCUUAUCAGACGGGUAGUCAUGAUGGGUAUAUUGGGCUUCGUAUAUUUGUACCCCAGUGUCACUUUGAUGGAAUGCACUGCUCUCUCACUCAAUAAUAAUAAUAAUAAUAAUAAUAAGUUGAAGGAAUAUUAUUCCUAACUUACAUGGAAAAAUUCAAUCUAGAAAUACUAAAUCAAAUUUCACAAAAUAUAAUAUAUAUAUAUAUAUAUAAAAAUUAGAAAAAAAAAACACCUUUUAUCAAUUCAAAAUGAACAAUUCAAUUACACCAUCUAGAAAAUUACAUAUAAUAGAAAUAUAAAAUAUAUUAAAAAAAUAUAAAAAAUAAAAUAACAAUAAUAUACUGAUGAUUAAGUAAAUUGCAAAAUAAUAAUAAAAACGUAUAUAUUUGAUAUAUAUAUCUCUCUAUAUAAACGGUAGUUUGUCUGUCUGUGUGUCUGUGUGUCUGUCAGGUUGUACCCUCACCCUGACCACGGCUUCCAACCGAUUCUGAUGAAACUUGACACACACAUAGCCCAAUGUCAUAAUUCAAAACUAACGCAGCGAAAAUUUUGAAAAGUUCCCCCAGUUCUGAAAAAAUCGAUAAAUUCGACAUGGGGUCGAGAAUCUAAGCUUUUCAUAUGCAACACAUUUUCUGGGCUGUGCGUGGGCUGUUCACACGUUGGGAGGCACAAUGAUGUUUUCAUGUUUUCGCCCAAAGGGACAGCUAGGAACAUCGUAUACACAGAAGUAUUCGAGUGAAGAGAAGACAUUGCAACCUACACAUGCGCCUUCGUUCCCUAGAGGGAAAGGACUAGAUUGGGAUUAGUCGUUGCCUACUAGGGGCUCUUACAUACCCGGGCAACGCCGGGCUAUGCUGCUAGUAUAUACUAAUCUUUUAGCUCUGUAAUGUUUAUUUUCUGGACCUGCACUCACCUAUAUUAGUGAUUCUGUUAUUAAACAUUUUAAAAUUGUUACACAAGAUAAUCCUAGAAUCAAUCUUCACAAAUUAUUCUCUCGUGAAUUAUUUUUCUCUCAUGAAUUAUUUGCUCCUUAUAUGUAUAUAGAUAUAUAUAAAUAUAUAUUCGUUUAUUCUUUUAUGCAUUUCAGCUAUGCUGUGGCCAUGCUGGAGCACCACCAAUAUUAUCAUCUUUCCAAUGGUCAUUCUUAUUAUGUGAUUGCUUUUUGGUGAAAGUGGGAAUUCGAUAUUGCUGUCCUUUUUAUACACACACACACAUACACGCAUACAUAUACAUACACGCACACAUAUACACACACAUUCUUUCAUGCCCACACAUGCACAUGCGAGAAUAUGCUAUACAUGCAUGCAUAAAUACAAACAUAUACACACACCUACACCUAUGCACAUACAUAUGCAUAUGUUAUAUAUACAUAUAUAAAUGCACACAUAUGCACACACAUAUACACACAUACACGCAACUACGCAUGCAUACAUAUAUACUCACAAAUACACACACACUCACACAUUCAUAUAUAUAUAGAGACUAUGACAAAUACACAUGCACAUAUACAUACACUUUGACCUAGAUAUAUACAUAUUUACAUACACACACACACACCAGUUAUAUAGACUCACCA